rnacentral:tRNA from 1 species
GGGGAUGUAGCUCAGUGGUAGAGCGCAUGCUGCGCAUGUAUGAGGUCCGGGGUUCAAUCCCCGGCAUCUCCA